ensembl:lncRNA
GGAGGCUCCUGCAGUGGCCUUUUUUAGAGGCUUCUGGCUCCUUCCAGAUCUGGAUCACCAGUGCUUCAACCCUAACAACCUGCCCAUGCUGCAUUCAGCUCCAAAUCUAAAAAAUGUUUGGAAUGACAGGCAUAGUGACUCUCACUUGUGAUCCUGACACUUUGGGACGUUGAGGCAGGGCAGGAGGAUCUCUUGAGUCCAGGAAUUCAAGACCAGCCUAGGCAAUAUAGUGAGACCCCAUCUCUACAAAAAAUACAAAAAUUAGCUGAGCAUGGUGGCAUGCAUCUGUAGUCCUGGCUACUCCAGAGCCUGAGGCGGGAGGAUUGCUUGAGUCCAGGAAUUCAAGGCCAGAGGGAGCUAGGAUCCCAUCACUGCACUCCAGCCAGGGCAACAGAGUGAGACUCUAUCUCAAAAAAAAAAAAAAAAAAGUUUGAGAUGUCUUUGAAGGUACUCUACAGUCACACCUUCUUUCAAGAAGCGUUCAAUGUUUAUCAAAGUGCCUGGAAAAUAAUAGAUGCUGAGAACGUACUUGCUGAGGUAAUGAAGAUGCUAUGGGAGAUGGAAAAAUGAGCCAUUCACCCAGCCACUCCUCUGAAUGACCACUUGACAUUGUCUUCUUCCUCAAAGCUCUUCCAUCUCCCCCCCCCACCAUAUUCUCCUCAGCUGGUGGUCUUGCUUCCCAUUUCACAGGAAAAUAGAAGCCGUCGAGAUUUUUCAUACCCACCAACCACUUUCAUCUGUGCACACCAGCUCUGUGUUGUCUCCUGUUACCGUGGACAAACUGCCCACACUCCUACAGGUCAACCUCCUCUCUUGCUCCAAGUGCCAUACCCAUUUGUCAACUCAAAGAAUGUCUAGUAUGCAAGUGCCGUAUCCUUUCAUCAACUCAAGAAUGUGUAGUAGAAUGUCCCUUCCUGCGUCAUCAGUCUUUCCCUCUCUAGUAGAUCUUAGUGUGAUGCAAACAUGCUGCAAUUUGUUCCAUCUUAAAACCCCUCUCCUGACUCUGUGCCAUUCUCCAGCUUCCCCUCCAUUUCUCUGUUUCACUUUUCAGCACAACUCCUAAAAAAUGUUGUUUGUACUUGCUGUCUCCAAUUUCUUUCCUCUCUUGAACUAAUUCCAAUCAGGAUAUUUUGCUUAUAUAAUUUCACUGAAACUGAUCUCGUCAAAAAUUAACCUCCAUGUUCUCAAACCUCUUCUUUGUACAUCAGCUUAGACUCCAAUCUCUAAUGUCCGCAGGUGCCAAAUAAAGACAACGGUGGGCUGGGCACGGUGGCUCAUGCCUGUAAUCCCAGCACUUUGGGAGCCCAAGGUGGGCGGAUCACAAGGUUAGGAGUUCGAGACCAGUCUCGCCAAUAUGGUGAAACCCCGUCUCUACUAAAAAUACAAAACUUAGCCAGGCAUGGUGGCAGGCGCCUGUAGUCCCAGCUAUUCAGGAAGCUGAGGCAGGAGAAUCACUUGAACCCAGGAGUCAGAGGUUGCCGUGAGCCAAGAUCGCACCGCUGCACUUCAGCCUAGGCGACUAGAGGAGACUCUGUCUCCAAAAAAAAACAAAAAAAA